rnacentral:rRNA from 1 species
UACAGAGGUCCCAAGCGUUGUUCGGAUUCACUGGGCGUAAAGGGUGCGUAGGCGGCUUGGUAAGUUCGAUGUGAAAUCUCCGGGCUUAACCCGGAAAUGGCAUUGAAUACUAUUGAGCUGGAGGUUUGGAGGGGGGACUGGAAUUCUCGGUGUAGCAGUGAAAUGCGUAGAUAUCGAGAGGAACACCGGUGGCGAAGGCGAGUCCCUGGACAACACCUGACGCUGAGGCACGAAAGCUAGGGGAGCAAACAGG